UUCAACGACAAAGGGUUGUUCAAGAGUGGAGGUUUCAUCCAUGCCGAUCGAGUUGACAAAGCUGCUACUAUUCUGGAAGAGGAUACAGAGGAUACCGACAAUUUUGUCAUCCCUGGCGGGAUCUUCCAUAAUUGGGUCGAUGUGGAUGUUCCUACGGUCAUUCAUAAGUUAGCGUAAUAUGUUCACUUUGUUUAAAAACCCUUCUCCCAUGCCAAGAGGAGAAGUGAUGACAUUGUUGGCAUCAUAUAU
rnacentral:lncRNA from 1 species